ACAUCGGUAACUGGUGGUGGGCACGCUGACGCGGCCUUGACCAGUCAUGUCCAUUCGACAAGACCCCAAAGCCGCCCGAGUUUCGAGGCGGCUUUUUU
rnacentral:ncRNA from 1 species